rnacentral:tRNA from 1 species
GCGUCGGUGGUUCAAUGGUAGAAUGCUCGCCUGCCACGCGGGCGACCCGGGUUCGACUCCCGGCCGACGCA